AUCAUUGUAUUAUAGUGGUAAGUAUUCCCGCCUGUCACGCGGUGACCUGGGUUCGAUCCCCGGCAACGACG
rnacentral:tRNA from 1 species